GGGACACGAGCGGGGAAGCGUGAGUAAACGUGAGCACCUGCCCUGACUCCGGGAUAGCCGGGGAAACCGGUCUAUACCGGAUAGGGACGCCCCGUCCAUGGGGGGGUGUGGAAAGGUUUUUUCCGGUCAGGGAGGGCUCGCGGCCUAUCAGCUUGGGUGGGGGGGGGGAAGGCCUACCAAGGCGAUUACGGGGUAGCCGGCCUGAGAGGGCGACCGGGCCACACUGGGACUGAGACACGGCCCAGACUCCUACGGGAGGCAGCAGUGGGGAAUAUUGCGCAAUGGGCGAAAGCCUGACGCAGCCACCCCGCGUGGGGGAUGACGGCCUUCGGGUUGUAAACCUCUUUUUCCACCGACGCAGGCCCGCGCUUCUGUGCGGGUUGACGGUAGGUGGGGGAAUAAGGACCGGCCAACUACGUGCCAGCAGCCGCGGUAAUACGUAGGGUCCGAGCGUUGUCCGGAAUUAUUGGGCGUAAAAAAGCUCGUAGGUGGUGUGUCGCGUCUGCUGUGUAAGUCCGGGGCUUUAACUCCGGUUUUGCAGUGGAUACGGGCAUGCUAGAGGUAGGCAGGGGAGACUGGAAUUCCUGGUGUAGCGGUGAAAUGCGCAGAUAUCAGGAAGGAACACCGGUGGGCGAAGGCGGGUCUCUGGGCCUUACCUGACGCUGAAGAGCGAAAGCGUGGGGAGCGAAAAGAUUAGAUACCCCUGGUAGUCCACGCCUGUAAACGUUGGGCGCUAGGUGUGGGGACCUUCCACGGUUUCCGUGCCGUUACUAACGCAUUAAGCGCCCCGGCUGGGGAGUACGCCGCAAGGCUUAAACUCAAGGUAUUGACGGGGGCCCGCACAGCGGCGGAUCAUGUUGUCUUAAUUCG
rnacentral:rRNA from 1 species